CUAGGGGACAAUGGGAGAAAUGGGGACACUGAGAGACAUAGGGACAUUGGGAGACACUGAGACAUUGGGACACAGAGACACUAGGGACACAGUGUCCCCAUGUCUCCCAGUGUCCCCAUGUCUCCCAGUGUCCCCUAGUCUCCCAGUGUCUGUGUCC